AUGCGCUCACACUCACACACACACGCUCACAAACUCACACUCACGUGCUCACACACACUCACACACACACGCACACACACACGCACUCACACACACACACAUGCGCUCACACUCACACACACGUGCUCACAAACUCACACUCACGUGCUAACACACAUUCACACACACACACACACUCACACGUGCUCACACACUCACACUCACACGCGCUCACACAUUCACACACACACACAUUCACACACGCACUCACACACACAUGUGCUCACACACUCACACUCACACGUGCUCACACAUUCACACACACACACAUGCACUCACACUCACACACGCACUCACAAACUCACACUCACGUGCUCACACACAUUCACACACACACACACGCACUCACACUCACACACAUUCACACACUCACACACACGUGCGCUCACAUACGCUCACACACACAUGCACACUCACAUGCACUCACACACACAUGCACUCACACACACAUGCACUCACACUCACACACUCAUACACAUUCACACAUGCAUCACACACACACGUGCUCACACAAACUCACGCUCACACACACUCAUACACACACACGCACUCACACACACUCUCAUACAUUCACACACAUGCACUCACACGUGCUCACACACAUUCACACACACUCACAUGUGCUCACACACACAUUCACACACAUGCACUCACACUCGCACUCACAUACAUUCAUACACACACACUCAUGCACUCACAGGCACUCACACACACACACUCACAUGCACUCAUGCACUCACACAUUCACACACACACUCAUACACUCACACUUUCACACAGUCACACACUCAUACUCACACGCACUCACACACUCACACACACACACUCAUACUCACACACCCGCACUCACACACUCACACACACAGUCACACACUCACACUCACACACGCACACACACCCCACCCUGAGAUCCCACCUUGCACCCACCAGGAUGGCCAUCACCAAAACAGAGCCAGGCAGAUGCCAAGCAUUGGCAGGAGGUGGCAGUCGUGUCCGACUCUUUGCGACCCCAUGGACCGCAGCCCCCCAGGCUCCUCUGUCCAUGGGAUCCUCCAAGCAAGAAUACUGCAUUGGGUUGCCAUUUCCUCCUCCAGGGGAUCUUCCCAACCCAGGGACGGAACCCGGGCCUCUUGCGUCUCCUGCACUGGCAGGCAGGUUCCUUACCACAGCGCCACCUGGGAAGCCCAUGGAACGAUGCGGUUCCCCGGGAUGGGCCCGAUGACCCACAGGACCCGGGGUUCCACUCUUGGGUCUGCCCAUGGAACGAUGCAGUUCCCGGGAUGGGCCCGAUGA
rnacentral:lncRNA from 1 species